rnacentral:rRNA from 1 species
UACGUAGGGUGCGAGCGUUGUCCGGAAUUACUGGGCGUAAAGAGCUCGUAGGUGGUUUGUCGCGUUGUCCGUGAAAACUCACAGCUCAACUGUGGGCGUGCGGGCGAUACGGGCAGACUGGAGUACUGCAGGGGAGACUGGAAUUCCUGGUGUAGCGGUGGAAUGCGCAGAUAUCAGGAGGAACACCGGUGGCGAAGGCGGGUCUCUGGGCAGUAACUGACGCUGAGGAGCGAAAGCGUGGGGAGCGAGCAGG